UUUAACGAUUUAUAUCUAUACUCAGACGGCACAGUUAUCAGAAUUUAAUUUGGCUACCGGCGGGCACGGGCCAGGGGCGGUAAAGCCCCCGGCGGCCCCAAAGGGCGGGCCCGCCAAAGCAACAUGGUUGGUUAAACAAAGGGUUGGAGGUCGGGCCUGGAAGACCCUUACUCGGUAAUGAUCCUUCCGCAGGUUCACCUACGGAAA
rnacentral:misc_RNA from 1 species